GAUGAACGCUGGCGGCGUGCCUAAUACAUGCAAGUCGAGCGAACAGACGAGGAGCUUGCUCCUCUGACGUUAGCGGCGGACGGGUGAGUAACACGUGGAUAACCUACCUAUAAGACUGGGAUAACUUCGGGAAACCGGAGCUAAUACCGGAUAAUAUAUUGAACCGCAUGGUUCAAUAGUGAAAGACGGUUUUGCUGUCACUUAUAGAUGGAUCCGCGCCGCAUUAGCUAGUUGGUAAGGUAACGGCUUACCAAGGCAACGAUGCGUAGCCGGACUGAGAGGGGGAUCGGCCACACCGGAACUGAGACACGGUCCAGACUCCUACGGGAGGAAGCAGUAGGGAAUCUUCCGCAAUGGGCGAAAGCCUGACGGAGCAACGCCGCGUGAGUGAUGAAGGUCUUCGGAUCGUAAAACUCUGUUAUUAGGGAAGAACAAAUGUGUAAGUAACUAUGCACGUCUUGACGGUACCUAAUCAGAAAGCCACGGCUAACUACGUGCCAGCAGCCGCCGUAA
rnacentral:rRNA from 1 species